GCGUCCUGGGUGUGCGGGGCCUGUGCAGAGAAACGCAUGGAGUAGAGGUGGUGGGAGUGUUAGCAGCGUGCUGUAUACUUACCCCAGACUUGUGAGCGUCAGCCCGGGAUGUUUCCAGCGCAGCUCUCCACUCUCCACCAGGUCGCGGAUCUGCUUGAACGCAUCCUCACCUGCACUCAAAGGUUUGGGAUUCACCUGGAUGUCAUAAAAUACUUCACCGAUUCUGAAAAACAAGACGUCUGCUCUUGCUAAGAUAAGUUGUUAGCCAGCCCCACAUUUGGACACCCAUCUCUCUCCGUAGAUGACCGCAGCAAUAAGGUUGUCAAAACACUCUUCAGCACUAUUUCACACACUUCGUGCCUGACUGCGACGUCACAAAAUGCGGCUGGAGUGGAGUUGAGUGCUGUUUCUGGACGAUGGACAAACAGAUACAAGCACUAGACAAUACCAGAGUGCAGAGGCCCGAAUGCUGACAAGGGGGCCGAUGGACGGCUUUAAGUGGCAAUUUCCAUAUUUUUCUGCAUGGUUUCCUCUCUGGCUGGGUUACCAUGGUGUUUCUGUCAGUGCCAAUGAUGAAAUCUGCCAAAGACCUCUUGCUAACGCACCGGAGAGGUAAUUUGGGGGACAGCUGCUCUGGGUGAGGGAGGCUUGGCUUCAUCAAUGUGGCUUUUAUACAAAAAAGCAUUUCUCUCCUGGUCCCGAGGCAAAAAACCGCUGCGCAAAUGGAUGCAUGUUGUGCAAAGUGUGAUAUUACGUGACUUGCGGGUGGAGUGUUUUUGAAACAUGCAUGUAAUAUAGAUGCUACAUUUAGUUCAUUUUGGUGCGCGUUUCUUUGGAAGUUUGGGUUUCCUUCCAAAAUACACAUGCAUCUUUGGGUUAAAAAAAGAGCUUGUGGAAUGUUUGAUGGCAUGCAUCAUUGACAAUGACAAAAUGUGAAAAUUGUUUGGAGGAGCCGUGUUAAAUAUUCAUGAGAUGGCUUUUCAAGGUGGGCAAAGACAAGGGAAUCCAUCAUUCGCUUUGAAAAUGCAGUGAUGCUAUUAGGAGAUAAAUAUUUAUUACCGGUUCAUGUACGCUGCAGCUUGAGAAAACAGCAGAUUCGGAUGCAACAUCACCGCUGACCGCCAGUAGGUAACUAUUGGAGAAUCUGUGACACCUUCAGUGUCAUUAAACCAGGUGUCGGCUGUAUCCGUACAAGCGGGGUCAAAGAAAAUACCUGAUGUACUUCACUUGAAGGCUCGAUCACUUCCUCUUUUCUAUCUCUUCACUUUCGACUCGUCAGAGAAGUCUUAUUGUGUUCUCCACCGCUCUUGGCUUUCUAUCUUGACCGCUCUCUUUCUGGGCUUCAUUACACAGGCUGUCCAAGUCUGAAAUUGAGGUUACUUUGGACAAGGGCACAAUCAUUCUUUCGAAGCACGCUGAACUUGCGGCAGCCCCGAUCUUCUUCGUUUGUGUGUUUGGCAGGUUUUGCACUUGAUAAAAGACCUGCAGACGUCUUCAGAGUUGGAAUGGAGCACCUAACGCCAAGAGUCCCAGAGCAAGAGGGGUGCCUGCGACCGCAGAGAGGCUGUCAGCUGCAGAAAUGAGAAAUCUUGCACUCCUGGAGAGACCUCUUAGUUGACAGGUGUGUGUGUGUUUAUGUGUGGGAAAGAGCUGGGAGAAUCCUGUUGUGAUCGAUUGACGCCGUUGACAGAUGUACGCCAGCGAGGAGAAUGCUAAACUGAGGCUGGCAUUACUAAAUUAACACUUCCCAAAUUGAUCUGCAGGGGCAGCUUUAAGACACCGAUCUCAGGCCUCCGCAAACAGUGUCAUCUGCCACCAUCUUUCCCAUGUAACCUCUGGGAAUAAUGCGCCAGAAUCGAUGGGGCGGAUUCCGGCAUCACAGCCCACCCUCCUCUCUGGUUGUAUUAGACGAGGGCAGGAACGUGGGAGGAGGAAGAGAGGGAGAAAAGCACGACUGAGAAGGCCAUUAUGGAACAAAGAAUGUAUCCUCAUGAGCAGGCAGCGGGGUCGGAGACGGCGCAAAUGAGAGAGCCGACAUGGCCAUUCCUGGGGCCUCAUUACCUUAAUGGAGAACCAUCGGUUCUGCUAGGGUUUCUCGAAAAUCUCCCCUGACACGAUUGCUUUCCUCUCUCCGCACAGCCUUAACGGUGUCAAAUGAAGAGGGAGAGAAAGAAAGAAAGAGACAGAAGCAAGAGCUAGCCGAGCGGUUUGGUGAAUUGCAAGGGAAGAUUUGUGCGUUCGGUACAGUAAUAAGGUCUUGAUUGGGACUGGAAUCCGCCGUCGUACUUUAUAAAGUCGCCUGUGGUUGACACUGCGGCCUUAGACGAUGGGAAAUCGUGUAAGCACUGGUUGGGAUUUCUCAGCAAAGGCAGAGAACAAACAUUAGGAUAGAUUUAAAGCACUAUGAUGGGCUAAAUUGCUUUAUGGUUUAAAGGGUUAGUUCAACCAGAAAUCAAAGUUUUUUCAUCAUUUACUCGCCCUAUCCUUCAUUCCAUACCCAAAUGAUUUAGAUGUAGAACUAAAUGAGAUAUUUAGCAGAAUGUUGUGGGUCCUCUUUUCCAAGUGAAAGGGGACAGAUACUGUCAAGUUCCAAAUUUGAAUAAGAUAACUUUGUGUAUUGCGGUUGGUUUUCUGUGAUGUUUCCUGCAUUGCAAUUUGGCAUGCAAUA